GGGGGCGCUUUUGGUUUUGACGUGAUUGACGAAGCCGGAUGUGCAUGUCGGGCAGUCAGGUAAGCCCGUUAUCAACUUAGUAAUUAAAUAUAACUGCAAAUUCAAUUCGCAGAAAAUUCGCUGCUGGCCCAGUCAACAGCGAAUUUGCAGAUGAUUUCGCCCUAGCGGCCUAAUUAUCCCGCAGUCUGCUUGUGCUUGUGCGAGCAAUGCUGCGGUCAUUGACGCAAGAUCGCUACGAUCGAUGUGCUCAGAUCGUUGUAGUUAAAUUUAAUGAGCAACGGUCAAGUUGCUGUGCCCGUCUGGUGCUUGACAGGAUUUUGACGCGGCUAAACAUGUAGUACCUGAUGGACUAGCAUGAGCGGACGCGGGUUCGAAUCCCGCCGCCUCCAUUC
rnacentral:tmRNA from 1 species